UAGAAAACCUUGGAGAGAAUGAAGAUGUGGAGAGGGGAGGAGAGAGAGGAGCCCCACAGCAACGUGGAUCCAGUCUGCAGGCCCCGUCCCCAUCUUGAGACCGACCUGGACUGGCGUGAGGUCAUUGGAAGUCUUUUCUUAGCAUGGAAGGUGCUCCGGGAGUGUCGGGGGAUGUGCAGUCCCUGACACGUGCCAUGAUAACUUAUUUAGACUGAUUUCUUAGCACUGAACUCUCUUUUGCUUCUCUGUGGAUUCUCACACCCCCAGCCAAGACUAAUGUAGGAAAGAUCAACAAAAAAGAAAGUAUUAAAGUGACUCUAUCGGCUUCCCCUCGCCCUUUGGACUUUCUUGUCCAAGGCUCUUUCCUGAUUUGAUGUCCUCUGGGUGGAAGAGAAAGUUACGGUAAGAUCAUGGAUGGCAGCGGAUCCCAUUGGCUGUGGUUUUCUUUUCAGAGCUGGUUUUAGAGCCCUCUCUGGGGAUGAAGAACCCUCCCCAGCUGGAAGAUGAUGCACUUGAAGGCUCAGCAAGCAACACACAAGGGCGUCAAGUCACUGGCCGGAUUCGUGCCUCCCUUGUCCUGAUACUGAAGACCAUCAGAAGAAGACUCCCGUUCAGCAAGUGGAGACUGGCAUUCAGAUUCGCUGGCCCGCAUGCUGAGAGUGCAGAGGUAAUCACAUCUAUGGCUGAUAGCUGCACUCACUUCUUAUUUCUCUGUCUAUGGUGACAGCUCAUUCUCUCACUGCUUUUUCUCUCCCAUUUGUUCUCUCCAACAGCUG
rnacentral:lncRNA from 1 species